rnacentral:rRNA from 1 species
UACGUAGGUGGCAAGCGUUGUCCGGAAUUAUUGGGCGUAAAGCGCGCGCAGGCGGUCCUUUAAGUCUGAUGUGAAAGCCCACGGCUCAACCGUGGGGGGUCAUUGGAAACUGGGGGACUUGAGUACAGAAGAGGAAAGCGGAAUUCCACGUGUAGCGGUGAAAUGCGUAGAGAUGUGGAGGAACACCAGUGGCGAAGGCGGCUUUCUGGUCUGUAACUGACGCUGAGGCGCGAAAGCGUGGGGAGCGAACAGG